UAGGUACUACCAUGGCAAGAGGGCUCUACAGCUUCUCAUCACUCACUUGGAAGAGGAUGAUGAGUGGGACAUCAUCAGGUAUUAUAAUGUCAUGUCUGAGGAGGAAAUCAAAAGGAUGAAGGAGAUUGUGAAGCUCAAAGUCUAUCAUUUUUGCUUCAUGUAUUUUGAAACUCUUGGUUAGAGACAGGGUCUUGCUGUGUUGUCCAGACUGGUGUUGAACUCCUGGUUUCAAGUGAUCCUCCCACCUGGGAUUACAGGCAUGAGCCACCAUGCCCAAUCAUCUCUCUGAGCUUCUUGGAUCUGUAGUUUGUAUCUUUCAUUAUUUUCUGAAGAUUCUUGGCUAAUUUCUCUUUAAAUAUUUCUUAUUUAAAAAAUAUCUGCUUCAAAUACCUAAUAUAGAUGACGGGUUGAUGGGUGCAGCAAACCAUCAUGGCACAUGUAUACCUAUGUAACAAACCUGCACGUUCUGUGCAUGUAUCCCAGAACUUAAAGUAUAAUAAAAAAAAAUUUAAAAAAGAAAAAUUAAAAUAAAA